AUGGUUACUUCAUUUUUUAUGACAGAAUUGGCAGUCACAAUUUAAAAUUAUUCUUAAAUUUUAUCUAAAUCAAUCGCGUUAUCCUACGUAAACCAAAUUCAAAUGGCAGAAAUAAAACAAGUGAGAAAUAAGAAAUUGUUGCCGGACUUAAGGAAAGAAGGAGAAUUAAAAAAAAACAUAGUUCUUUCUACUACUGAAAAACAUGGUGUUCCUACAGGCUCGAGAUUAUUUUCUCAUCACACAUUAGCAAGUGUUCGGAAAUUGAGUUUUUAUCACCCAUUUUUUUUGCCUGAUGACAACUUGGAUGUAAUCUUGACAUCCACCUACAACCAUUCAACGGAGCGCUUUGCAGACAAAGAGGACUUAUAUUUGCAACCGGAAACAAUUGGUUGCCAAACAUGGCGACGGUUAAGAAACACCAAUGAUAAACUGCCUUCGACUCUCAUACCAAUGGGCCAUCCGAUGAAACGCGGAGGGAUAACGGAACGCAAGUCGCCGUUUAGCGUUAAGUUAAUGAAUUCAGGCGUGCACUCCUCUCAAACCAACCCUGGAUACAGUAGGCAGCCAGCUGGCGGCGCCAUAUUCUUCUAUUGAUAUUAAGAAUCGUUAAAAUAUAAUUUUAUCAAGAUUUGUUUUUCUAACAAUGUUAUAUCAUUGUCUUACUGUUCCAUUUAGGAAGACACACAAUGAAUGUUCCAAAUGCGAUUAAGAUUUAAAAUAAUUCACAUUAAACCAAGGUUUAUGAAACUGCCAAGAAAUAAAUGAUUUUGACACCUCAAAAACAAUUUACGUAGAUUUUGAAUAUAAAAUAAUCAAGUAAUAAAAUUAUUUUGGUAAACUGUUAUUAAAAUUUACAUGGAUUUAUUAGAUACCCAUGAAAAGGACUCAAUAAGCAAAAAGUGUAACCGAGUACGUUCAUGGUAUUUAUACGAACAGUAUAAGUCAUUAGAAAGGAAUCAGAUAGAUGCUGCAUGUUUGUUAAAAAGCAAAUCCUAUCAAAAUAAUUUACUGCGCCAAGAACUAAAGGAAAGACGUGCACGCAGGAGAUUGUGCGACAGCAACGAACUAUGUCGGAGCGAAUUUAGAACAAACAAAGAUAAUAUACUCAGAAAUGACAGUGUGAGCGAUGACAAUCUGUUCGAUAGUGUCUGUGAACUUCACGAGGAUGUCGAACUAAAAGACAUCUGUAGCUGCGACGGUUCGAAAACGAGCAAAUAUGAUGAAAAUAUAAAUAAAGAAGACUUAAGUUGCUCCGACAGCGUAUUGAGUGUGGUGGAUAAUGUUACAUCUAAUUACCCUCAAGAUGUUAAAAAGGAAUUAGAAAUUGUUAAAAAGAACAUCGCUCAAAAUAUUAACCUGCAACUGGAAACUGUGAAAGAAAAUGUAGAGUGUUUGGAAAAAUUUACGAAGCUUAAUGACGAAGAUCUAUUGUCUCGAGGAAAUAGUGAAGUUGCGGAUAUCAAAGACGUCAAUAAAAAUGUAAAAGAGAAAUCAAAAAAUAGCAUAGAAUCUUUAUUGUCGAUUUGGUCCAAAUUGGUACUGUUUGCUUACAACACGUCGCAAUUAAAUCACGGAAACUGCUACUGCCAUUUCAGCUUUCAAUUAGUGACAGCUGUUCUUGCGUGCGAUUUUCUUCGUAGAAGCGUUGACAAAAUGUUCUUACGUCUCUCCGAUAAAGUUCGCUAGCAGUGACUGCAACACUCUCCAUCUGACCACACCGACGAAAGCCUUAAACUGCUAUGAACACAAAAAAAAUAAACGAAAGCCUCUCAAGACUCCUAAGAACUGUAAGUAUUGCUACGAUGGUCCAUGGUUGAAAAGGAAUUAUAACAAAAAAUACAAUUCAGAAUAUAAAAGUCAUUCGAAGUAUGCAUUCAGUAACACAAUUAAUGAACGCAAAUGUCGUGGAGCUAGUGAGCCGUGGCAGAGUUUUGACAUACACGAAACAAAAAUUGGCGGCAGUUGUAGAUUGAACACAGAUUCCGAUAAGAGAUUUUGUUAUUGUCAUGACUUGGAAAUUAUCGUUGAUCGUAUACAACAGGUCGCAAGAGACAUGGAAAUUUUAUUGGAAGAUGUGGACGAUACAUCCUCGAAAUAUUACUUUUGAUAUUAUUUAUUUCUUUAAUUUUUUUAUAUAUAUUUUUAAUAAAGUUUACUAUUAAUAGAUUAA